GACGAACGCUGGCGGCGUGCUUAACACAUGCAAGUCGAACGGAAAGGCCCUGCUUUUGUGGGGUGCUCGAGUGGCGAACGGGUGAGUAACACGUGAGUAACCUGCCCUUGACUUUGGGAUAACUUCAGGAAACUGGGGCUCAUACCGGAUAGGAGCUCCUGCUGCAUGGUGGGGGUUGGAAAGAUUCGGCGGUUGGGGAUGGACUCGCGGCUUACCAGCUUGUUGGUGGGGUAGUGGCUUACCAAGGCUUUGACGGGUAGCCGGCCUGAGAGGGUGACCGGCCACAUUGGGACUGAGAUACGGCCCAGACUCCUACGGGAGGCAGCAGUGGGGAAUAUUGCACAAUGGGCGGAAGCCUGAUGCAGCAACGCCGCGUGCGGGAUGACGGCCUUCGGGUUGUAAACCGCUUUCGCCUGUAACGAAGCGUGAGUGACGGUAAUGGGUAAAGAAGCACCGGCUAACUACGUG
rnacentral:rRNA from 1 species